rnacentral:lncRNA from 12 species
GCAAAGCGUGCUGGUCGCCUGGCUGAGCGUGGAACACUGGGUCAGAGCACAGCUCUGUGAGCUCAUGGGGCCACUUGUCACAGUCCUGGCUGGCCACCACAGCUCACAGGGGCAGAGUGACCCCACUCAGCCCGGGCUCCUUGCCUGUACAUCGGCUUCCAGCAUCUGAGGAGCACAGAGAGCAGUGGCCCUCCAGCCACUGCUGCAGCUCCAGGAUGUGACCCGAAGAGAAAUUAUUCAAGUAAAUUUGCAGUCACCUCACCAACAGCUGCUGAGCAGGAAGGCAGGAAUCUUCCCCUAGCCCACAAUUUGAUGCAGAUUAUUCACAUGGUGCUGCUGAGGAGUUAAUAUACUUGGCUGGGACAGGACAGAAAUGAUGCCUGCUUAAUAUGACAGAAAAUAAAUAGAAUCUGCUUUCAAAGGAUGCAUUGACCGAGCUGUCGUGCCUGAUGCUGGGGAGACAAGUGUCUACAAGCUUCAGCUUAAUGUGGCAUGGAAA